CUCCAUAGCAGCCAAGAUGAUGUCUACAGC
rnacentral:piRNA from 1 species